GCUUCUUGAGGGAGCUCGAUAAGUACACGUACGCAUCAUGUUGACGAUCAUCAUAAACCAUUAACACAGAAAUUUAAGACUUGGACUUGAAGGGGAUGGCUCUGAUCACAACCACGUGGUACAAAGCUGCAAGUGCUGCCCCAAUGAAUGGUCCAACCCAGAAAAUCCACUGCAACAUUAUUUUAAAAUACAAAAAAUUAGGGUUUAAAAAAAAUCAUUAAAUUGCUCUCAAACUUUUAGAUGGGUCCUCCUUGAAAGGGAAAUUAAAGACUAUUGGAUCCAAGUUUGAAUCUAGCAUUAGGUAGUGAAUACGUCCUCUUGCACUCAAAUUCGAGUUUUCUCUCCUUAAUUUAUAGCCGUUUAUGAUACGGCUUGUAUUUUUAAAAAGAAAAAUAGAUCAAUCAGAAAGGCUUACAUGGUCAUCCCAUGCAUGCUUCUUGUUGUAGAUGAUGGCAGCACCAAGACUCCUAGCUGGGUUGAUACCAGUUCCAGUGAUGGGGAUGGUAGCCAAGUGCACCAAGAACACAGCGAACCCAAUAGGCAAAGGUGCCAAAAUCUGUUAAUCAAACCCAAUUAUUCAAAUUAACAACCGAUUAAUCACCAGUUAACAAAUUAACACGAUCCAGCUAGGCUAAGGAAAAUGAUCAAACACUUAAUUAGCAUACAUACCGGAACAUGGGAGUCUCUGGCGCUGCGCUUGGCAUCAGUGGCCGAGAAAACUGUGUAGACAAGAACAAAGGUGCCAACGAUCUCAGCACCAAGCCCUGAUCCCUUGGUGUAGCCAUGGGCUACAGAGUUGGCCCCGCCACCAAGCAACUCGAAGUUGCGGCUCUUCUCGAAGCCCUUCACCACCGCCGCACCGGCGAUCGCCCCAAGCGUCUGCAUCACGAUGUAGAAAACCGCCCUUGUCAGCGACAGCUUCCGGGCCAAAAACAGCCCGAACGUCACCGCCGG
rnacentral:lncRNA from 1 species